GUCAUGUGGUGGGCCUUGGAGAAACACAAAGUCCCAGCAAAGUACAUUACCCUCAUCAAGGACAUGUACGAUAAUGUUGUGACAAGUGUUCGAACAAGUGAUGUCGACACUGAUGACUUCCCAAUUAAGAUAGGACUGCAUCAGGGGUCAGCUUUGAGCCCUUAUCUUUUUGCAUUGGUGAUGGAUGAGGUCACAAGGGAUAUACAAGGAGAUAUCCCAUGGUGUAUGCUCUUUGCGGAUGAUGUGGUGCUAGUUGACGAUAGUCGGGCGGGGGUAAAUAGGAAGUUAGAGUUAUGGAGACAAACCUUGGAAUCGAAAGGGUUUAGGCUUAGUAGGACUAAAACCGAGUACAUGAUGUGCGGUUUCAGUACUACUAGGUGUGAGGAGGAGGAGGUUAGCCUUGAUGGUCAGGUGGUACCUCGGAAGGACACCUUUCGGUAUUUGGGGUCAAUGCUGCAGGAGGAUGGGGGUAUUGAUGAAGAUGUGAACCAUCGGAUCAAAGCCAGAUGGAUGAAGUGGCGCCAAGCUUCUGGCAUUCUCUGUGACAAGAGAGUGCCACAAAAGCUAAAAGGCAAGUUCUACAGGACGGCGGUUCGACCUGCAAUGUUGUAUGGCGCUGAGUGUUGGCCGACUAAAAGGCGACAUGUUCAACAGUUAGGUGUGGCGGAGAUGCGUAUGUUGAGAUGGAUGUGUGGCCACACGAGGAAGGAUCGAGUCCGGAAUGAUGAUAUACGAGAUAGAGUUGGGGUAGCACCAAUUGAAGAGAAGCUUGUCCAACAUCGUCUGAGAUGGUUUGGGCAUAUCCAGCGCAGGCCUCCAGAAGCUCCAGCGCAUAGAGGAUGGCUAAAGCGUGCGGAGAAUGUCAAGAGAGGGCGGGGUAGACCGAAUUUGACAUGGGAGGAGUCCGUUAAGAGAGACCUGAAGGAUUGGGGUAUCACC
rnacentral:rRNA from 1 species